AUAACACCAUCUACCUACCUUGUGAGAGAAAGUAACAGUGUGCAAUAAAGAAGGAUGUUAAAACAGAGUCGAGAUAGGGGAAUAAUGUUUAAUUGGCUCUCCAGAGUCUACUAAUUUUCAGAAUUGGAAACCUAGUGUUUGAUUUGUUCUUUUUAGUCAGUGAGAAGAAAAACAUCCUUCAUAAAUUCUGAAUGACAAAUUUGCCCAUCCUUUUUUGCAUGUGGUUCCAGCAUCCCAGGGAUUCUAAAGUGUCAUUUCCUCUUUGGAAGAAAGGGAGCACAAAACAUACUAGUUCACUGGAAAUGACUCUGAAAGAGGCAUUAUGAUCAAGAAUAGAUUGGCCAAGCUGCUGUUGACUCUGUUUUCAUCUGGGACAUUCAUCUCUAGCUUCAGAAAAAAAUAUUCUCUAGCUUUAGAAAGAGAUCCCCUUAGCUCCUCCUGGUUGAGUACAAAGGAAAGAUGGUGCCAUCAUCAAUAGUGUGCUCAGAUCUCAUAUACAAGAUUGUGGAAUUUACUUCAGAAGAGAAAAAUGUGGAGGAAUAUUCAUCAGACCUGGUGGAUCCCUGAUACAAGCUCAAAAUGUCUGCUACUAACAGCAUGGUCAGUAUACAAGAGAUCACAACCUGCUUCUUGACUAAGAGAGUAAUAUUCAUAUUUGGACCAUAGUAUAAAUCCUCUACUCCAUCCAGAACAAAUGGUAAACAUCUUUUUAAAAGCUGAUGAGAAGGAGGAGGAAUAGGG